AUACGGCAGCCAAAACCUGGAUAUCACUCUUCAUCGGAGCCGGUGGGCGGGCAGAAGUCUGGCCUGCCUCCUGCGGGCCGAUAUCAAUUCAAGCCUUUUCACGCACUGGAGAUCCAUCUCACAUUUAGGAAUCGCAAUAGACAAAUAGAGCAGGAGAAGGUUGCUAUCACCUUUUGACAUCUUUGAAGUACAAAUUUUAAAGGGG
rnacentral:lncRNA from 1 species